AUACGGAGGGUGCAAGCGUUACUCGGAAUCACUGGGCGUAAAGCGCGCGCAGGCGGCUAUUUAAGUUGGAUGUGAAAGCCUAUGGCUCAACCAUAGAACUGCAUCCAAAACUAUUUAGCUAGAGUGUGGGAGAGGAAGAUGGAAUUAGUUGUGUAGGGGUAAAAUCCGUAGAGAUAACUAGGAAUACCAAAAGCGAAGGCAAUCUUCUGGAACACUACUGACGCUGAGGCGCGAAAGCGUGGGGAGCCAACAGGAUUAGAAACCCCAGUAGUCC
rnacentral:rRNA from 1 species